CGGGGAAAGGGCUGGGGCAGACACACUCGGGCUUUGCUCAGCGCCCUGUUGACAACGGCCUUAGACAUUAGCAUGCUACGGGCAAAAUCACACGCCCACGGACUUGGCUACUAAGGGGCCAGACAGAGUUCACAGCACAGCUCUGCCAUUUUACAGGGUCAGCCAGCCCACCUCUGGAGUCUCCAGUGCCUUGGGAAAAUGAACGAAGGUGGCGAGUUUAGCAUCUGUAGCCGGUAGAAAAACAAAGUCGUAGCAGUCAGUGUCUGAUACAGCUUUCAGCUUUGCUUUCGCUAUUGAGCGGCCCUGGAACUUUCCGGCUACAUUCCCAGGGGGCUUCCUAAUCGACCCUGCUGAAGGGGGCGUUCUCAGCGGUUCCUUCUCAGCCUUCUGAUCCUCCGUGGGAGGGCUGAUCUCUAUUCAGCUCUUCCUCAUAAUUUAGGCACCAGCAGACCUCGGGUGAGAGCUCACAGGUGCAGGAAGGAGCCACCUACAGCUGCUGAGGAUGCACGACUAGGGCCAGGCUGAUUUCUGGAGGGAUUGGCAGAUGUGGAAGUGGUUAAGGUUGCUUGAACCCAGGAAGAAAGUUCUUAUCCCUGAGACAUCCCUGUGCUAUGCUGUAGCCAGUGUGCUGGCCACUCCAGGGACACAGAAAUCCUUGCCUCCUCGAGCACACUGUGAGCUGGGGAAACAUACUGAGUUCUAUACAUCGACAGGGGGGUUGGAAAGCAUCGAUCUAAAAGGCUGGCAGAAUGGCCAAAGACUAAAGAAAGCAUUAGACGGCGUGCGUGUGGUGCACAGCCACACAUGCCACCAAAUACUCAUUCACAUAAAAAUACGUCUUAUUUUACUUAAAGAAAGAGUGAGAUGGGGCAGAGCGAGAUUUGAGAGGACCUGGAAAGGCUUUUUCUCCCCGGUGGACACCAGCCGGUUGUAAAACAGUAACAUUGUAACAUUGUAGCCUAAGGAGGACAAGGAGAAUCCAGAUUUCAGCACUUUUGGUGCUGGGAUUUAAAAGUGCGCAGCUUACUGGUAAAGAUCAAAGGAAUCACCACAGGGAAGGCAGAAUGGGAGCAGAACCCCUGUCAGUGUGUGGUGGUGGGGGUGAAACUGGACAGUGACCUAAAAGGCAUUUUACAGAUUAAGCCCCUCCCCACCAUCUUUACACCGUUCCUGGUCUGGCUUCCCGGUAGCUCUGUCUGUCUUCAUGACCCUGCCCCCCACUCUGGUAGCUUUCUCACCAGAGCCCCUGAGCUCCUCUUCGCCCACUGCCGUGCCAGAUGAAGGCACAGACACCAGCUCCGAGAUCGCCACCAAGGACUUGAAGGAGAAGAUGUUGUGCAGGAGGCAGAGAAUGAAGAGAUGCCCUUGACAACGGGAAUGCCGGAAAUGGGGAUCAGGAGGCUGGGGUGAGGCAGGUAAGGAAGAGGACAGAGAGGAAGCUGAGGCUGAGGCUGAGGCAGCCACAGGCCAGUGGGCUGCUGAAGAUGACAAGGAUGAUCAUGCUGAUACUGUGGAGCCGGAGAUGGAUGAGGACGAUUGGACAGCAAAGAAGAAAAGGUUAAUCCUAAAAGGCUACCAUGGCCUCUUCACCCUCCACUUCCCAGCUCAGCAUCCCUGUGCAUUCACCUGUGGGUAGCAAGGUUGCCUACAGUGGGCAGUCUCAUGGGAAGAGCACACACACACUACACACACACAUACUGCUGAAAUCAGGAUCGGCUCUGAACCCAGUGACAUCACACCUAGGUGACAGUGACCUGUACAUGUGUGGCCAUGGCGACUGCCAUACAUUCCCCGAAUCCUCUUGGCUCACCUCCCACCUUUACCUGCAAGCGACUACGUCAUCCAAAUAAAAGGAAGACCCCUCUGACCCCUCUCUCCCCUCCCUUCUUCAAUGCCACCUUUGCUCUCUUCCUCCACAAUAAACCUCUG
rnacentral:lncRNA from 1 species